AGUGAACGCUGGCGGUAGGCCUAACACAUGCAAGUCGAACGGCAGCACAGGAGAGCUUGCUCUCUGGGUGGCGAGUGGCGGACGGGUGAGGAAUACAUCGGAAUCUACUCUGUCGUGGGGGAUAACGUAGGGAAACUUACGCUAAUACCGCAUACGACCUACGGGUGAAAGCAGGGGACCUUCGGGCCUUGCGCGAUUGAAUGAGCCGAUGUCGGAUUAGCUAGUUGGCGGGGUAAAGGCCCACCAAGGCGACGAUCCGUAGCUAGUCUGAGAGGAUGAUCAGCAACACUGGAACUGAGACACGGUCCAGACGCCUACGGGAGGCAGCAGUGGGGAAUAUUGGACAAUGGGCGCAAGCCUGAUCCAGCCAUACCGCGUGGGUGAAGAAGGCCUUCGGGUUGUAAAGCCCUUUUGUUGGGAAAGAAAUCCAGCUGGCUAAUACCCGGUUGGGAUGACGGUACCCAAAGAAUAAGCACCGGCUAACUUCGUGCCAGCCGCCGCCGUAA
rnacentral:rRNA from 1 species